rnacentral:rRNA from 1 species
UACAGAGGAGCCAAGCGUUGCCCGGAUUGACUGGGCGUAAAGCGCACGCAGGCGGGUGCGCGCGUGGGGUGUGAAAUCUGGCCGCUUAACGGCCAGGCGCCAUCCCAUACGGCGCAACUGGAGGGCUGCAGAGGUCGAUGGAAUUGCCGGUGUAGUGGUGAAAUGCGUAGAGAUCGGCAGGAACACCCAGGGGGAAACCAGUCGACUGGGCAGCACCUGACGCUGAGGUGCGAGAGCGUGGGGAGCGAACCGG